CAUUUUUUAUCAGGAAAAAGAUAGGGAAAUGCAAAAUUUUGGCAGUAAAACGGCGAUUUUAAGCGCAGUAAACGAUCUAUCUUCAUUUUGUGCACGAAUUUUGCAAAUAAAUGGCACACUGCGUCUUCUUAGCAAAAGGGAAUUGAACGAAUACCAUUUUUAACGGCGAAAAUGAGAAAAGACACCCGAAGGAGUGAGAAUUUCUGGCAAUCUGAAGAUUCGAUUCUGUAGACCUGAACUCCAGCUGGAACUUGGCAACUUUAUAUGUGAGUUUUUUUUCUCUAGCUCAUAUAUAUGAAAUUAUCAAUAUAUUUUUGUGAAGUGCUAUGUUGUAUGAAAGGGUUGUCGUUAAUUUAAACAUUGCAUAAACAGCAUUCAGAUACGAAAAAUAUGAACAUCAACAUUCAACAUGGACUGAUGGACUUGGACAUGGAGCCACAGUACUCUAAAGUUCUCAUAUAGACUCUAUUUAACUUAUAUGUUGACCCAAUGGUGAGGGAUUGGUCAAAUUAUACUUUAUAGUGAUUCCCCUAGACUAGUGCAUUGGUUAUUGUGCAAUGACAACCUUUUUUUUGGCUCUCAAAGGUCAAUAAUUUCUCAAACAUGCCAGGUCUGUACAUGUUUAAUAUUAAAUCUAAUCUGUUUAUUUUUUAUUUUGCUUUUCUAGAUUGCCAACCAUUCCUGUUGAACUACAUUGUUCAUUACAAUGAAUCAGAUGCAGAUUCUUACAACUAUGUUAAUUUGUUCUUCUGAUUGGGCAAAACCUGAGACUAUUUGAUCUUAUAUUGGAAUGCCUACCAAUUUUACAUAGCCUCAGGCAAUGUUUAUAUAAUUAAUCUUGAGUAAUAGAGAUGCUGUACCCCCUGACGGAGUGACCUUACUACCUGGAUCAUCCCACUAGGCAAGACAAGUUCAAAACUUUCCAUGCAAACACUUGCAUGGCAGUUGCUAUAAUAGGAUAUGAAUAUAGUUUUGCCUUGCCAGGGUGGCUCGGGGGGGGGGGGUAAGAUUUCCCUAGUACCCGGAGACCAUAUAGACAGGCCGUCGGAUUACUGUAAUAGUUUAAUUGAGGUUCAAAAAAGCAGCCCCCUCCCCCAAAGUGGUAGGCCUGCUCCCCAAAUCCAGCCCCCCUUGGAAGAUGUACUGUAAAGCUAGACAAUUUUACUUGUUAACCCAACUUUAUUAUUCUGUCUAACACUGGGCGAUCCAGUUAACCCAUUGAGUUGCAUUGCAUGUGCCCUGAUGCACCCUACUUUAUUAUUUUACUCUGUCUAACGCCAGACGAUUUUACUUGUCAAGGGGUGGGCACACUUUAACAGGCAAAGUAUUAUUUGGGAAUACUUUCUCUUUUAAUGGGAAACUCUUUAUCAAUAAAAGGAACAAUGCAAUUAUUCAUAGCAUUUAACUUUUCAUAUAAAGCAAAGACUGUAAGAGGAAACAUGGAUCAUUGGCUACUUUUUUUAUUUAGUAUUAAUUUUCAUGACAACAUGUGGGGUCAACUAUAAAGGAAACAGUUAUUGCCUAUUUUGGAA